CCUACGGGUGGCAGCAGUGAGGAAUAUUGGUCAAUGGGCGAGAGCCUGAACCAGCCAAGUCGCGUGAAGGAUGAAGGAUCUAUGGUUUGUAAACUUCUUUUAUAUGGGAGUAAAGUGAGGAACGUGUUCCUUUUUGUAUGUACCAUAUGAAUAAGCAUCGGCUAACUCCGUGCCAGCAGCCGCGGUAAUACGGAGGGUGCGAGCGUUAUCCGGAUUUAUUGGGUUUAAAGGGUGCGUAGGUGGUUAAUUAAGUCAGCGGUGAAAGUUUGUGGCUCAACCAUAGAAUUGCCGUUGAAACUGGUUGACUUGAGUAUAUGUGAGGUAGGCGGAAUGCGUGGUGUAGCGGUGAAAUGCAUAGAUAUCACGCAGAACUCCGAUGGCGAAGGCAGCUAACUGACCUAUAACUGACGCUGAAGCACGAAAGCGUGGGGAGCAAACAGGAUUAGAUACCCCUGUAGUC
rnacentral:rRNA from 1 species